AUUGAACGCUGGCGGCAUGCUUUACACAUGCAAGUCGAACGGCAGCGCGGGGCAAUCUGUCGGCGAGUGGCGGACGGGUGCGUAAUAUAUCGGAACGUACCCAGAAGUGGUGGAUAACGUAGCGCAAGUUACGCUAAUACCGCAUACGAUCUACGGUAGAAAGUAGGGGACCGCAAGGCUUUAUGCCUUUGUUGCUGUCGCUAUCGGAUUAGCUAGUUGGUGAGGUAAAGGCUCACCAAGGCGACGAUCAGUAGCUGGUCUGAGAGGACGACCAGCCACACUGGAACUGAGACACGGUCCAGACUCCUACGGGAGGCAGCAGUGGGGAAUUUUGGACAAUGGGCGCAAGCCUGAUCCAGCAAUGCCGCGUGAGUGAAGAAGGCCUUCGGGUUGUAAAGCUCUUUUGUCAGGGAAGAAACGGUAGAGGCUAAUAUCCUUUGCUAAUGACGGUACCUGAAGAAUAAGCACCGGCUAACUACGUG
rnacentral:rRNA from 1 species